UCGGGAUAAAAUAGUGAGUAACCGACCUGGGGAAGUGAUCAACCCUAGGGAUAAGUUUAAAUCUGCUUUUUUUACUCCAUAAACUUUUUACCGUGGGUAAAAAGAUUUUUCUUGGUGUAUAAAAAAAACCAGAUUUAAAUUUAGCUCAAGGGUUGAUGAUGUAUUUUUCCCAUGAAGACUGCUCAUUAUUUUACCCCAC
rnacentral:pre_miRNA from 1 species